rnacentral:sRNA from 1 species
AGAGGAAAAUUGGUUAGAGUAAUCACUUUUAAAGCAGAGGAGGAACUUUUAGUAAAACUAGAUUUAUUUGCAUUAAAUAGUAGAAUGAGUAGAAGCGAAAUAAUUAGAAUGGCUAUAGAAAAAUAUUU